rnacentral:rRNA from 1 species
GGGCCCGCACAAGCGGUGGAGCAUGUGGUUUAAUUCGAUGCAACGCGAAGAACCUUACCUGGUCUUGACAUCCACAGAACUUUCCAGAGAUGGAUUGGUGCCUUCGGGAACUGUGAGACAGGUGCUGCAUGGCUGUCGUCAGCUCGUGUUGUGAAAUGUUGGGUUAAGUCCCGCAACGAGCGCAACCCUUAUCCUUUGUUGCCAGCGGUCCGGCCGGGAACUCAAAGGAGACUGCCAGUGAUAAACUGGAGGAAGGUGGGG